CUCCAGACUCCUACGGGAGGCAGCAGUGGGGAAUAUUGGGCAAUGGGCGAAAGCCUGACCCAGCAACGCCGCGUGAAGGAAGAAGGCUUUCGGGUUGUAAGCUUCUUUUGACAGGGAAGAGCAGAAGACGGUACCUGUCGAAUAAGCCACGGCUAACUACGUGCCAGCAGCCGCGGUAAUACGUAGGUGGCAAGCGUUAUCCGGAUUUACUGGGUGUAAAGGGAGCGUAGACGGCUGUGCAAGCCAGAUGUGAAAGCCCGGGGCUCAACCCCGGGACUGCAUUUGGAACUGUGUGGCUGGAGUGUCGGAGAGGCAGGCGGAAUUCCUAGUGUAGCGGUGAAAUGCGUAGAUAUUAGGAGGAACACCAGUGGCGAAGGCGGCCUGCUGGACUGUAACUGACGUUGAGGCACGAAAGUGUGGGGAGCAAACAGGAUUAGAUACCCGAGUA
rnacentral:rRNA from 1 species